GCGCCCGCAGCCCCUCGAGUCUAAGGGAGCACAGUGCGCUGCAUGCCGGGAAUCCGAGUCUUCCGGCUCGUGGCGUACGACGGCGCACCUUUUUAGUCUCGCCGAGGUCAAAGGGCGAGGUGGCAUGCUGGAAAACGUAGUCUCCUUGGAAUGUGUUCCGUAGAGGCGGAAGAACAGGGAGAGAAACAGCUAUUACAAAGGGAGAGUUUCGUAGUGUUGCUCCGUGGUAGAGGCCUGAGCUUCAUUCCCAGCCGCCAAAGCGCAUGAUCACAUUUGAUUCUCAUAAGCAAUUUAUGGCAGAUAAUGCUGGUCCUGUUUUGGAGACAGGUUUUCAUAUGUAGCCUAAGCUGGCCUUGAACUCCUUUUGUAGCAGAAGCUAGCCUUGAAUCUUGAUCUUGUCUCUGCUUUUGGAGUACUAGGAUUAAAGGUCUGUGCCAGCCCGUCCUGCCUGCUACUCCUAUUUUAUAGGCUUUCUAAAACCUAAGACCCUAGCCACCUUGGCAGUGGAUUCAACUUCAGAACUUCAAGUCAGCCUUGAAUACUCACUUGAGCAGUGGUGAGGAUUGAACCCAGGACUCCACGUGUGUGAGACAAGUGCUCUACUACAGAGUAUACCUCCAGCCUCAGUACCACUAUUUGAGAAUGUCAGCUUUUUUCUUUUUUUCUAACAUGGUGAAUGCCUGUCUGUUAACUGGAUUCAACCCAGCAGUUGCCAAUCUGUGUUCUUCAGUUUACCUAUUUUACCCCCCUGAAUUACAGCAUCAAACUCUGUGAGACCCUCAUUCCUUAUUCUCAAAGGAACGAGAAGGAAUUUCCUAGCAGGGUGUUUUAAAAUCAAAAACUCCAGACUAGCUUCAUGUUCCCAGAAAAGAUAGCAUGCCCCGGGCCCCCCCCCCCCACACACUUGGGAAAUUCCAAAGCACAAGGAUGCCUGGCCACCUGGUGGAUACUGAUAACUGAUAAAGACGUCCUGACUCAGGGACAUGGUGACCUUGCUCUGAAAACAAAGAACAAGCUGACGUAGCAGGAUGGGAAAGAACAAAGACCUUGCUUGCACUCGUGCAAAUCCCCCUGAUGGUCCUGAAGGGCUUGUAGUUUUUGCCUUUAAAAAGCUAACCCCACAGAGGGAUUCGAACUCCUCCCUGCCUCGCUGUUUCGAGUGUGGAGAUGAGUUCUGAGCUUGCCUGUAUUAUGCUAACAAUAAACCUU